rnacentral:rRNA from 1 species
UACAGAGGUCUCAAGCGUUGUUCGGAUUCAUUGGGCGUAAAGGGUGUGUAGGUGGCGCGCUAAGUCGGGUGUGAAAUCUCGGGGCUUAACUCCGAAACUGCAUUCGAUACUGCCGUGCUUGAGGACUGGAGAGGAGACUGGAAUUUACGGUGUAGCGGUGAAAUGCGUAGAUAUCGUAAGGAAGACCAGUGGCGAAGGCGGGUCUCUGGACAGUUCCUGACGCUGAGGCACGAAGGCCAGGGGAGCAAACGAG